GGAGAGAUGGCCGAGUGGUUGAUAGCUCCGGUCUUGAAAACCGGUAUAGUUCGUCAAGAACUAUCGAGGGUUCGAAUCCCUCUCUCUCCU
rnacentral:tRNA from 2 species